rnacentral:rRNA from 1 species
AGAGGUGAAAUUCUUGGAUUUAUGAAAGAUUAACUUCUGCGAAAGCAUCUGCCAAGGAUGUUUUCAUUAAUCAAGAACGAAAGUUAGGGGAUCGAAGACGAUCAGAUACCGUCGUAGUCUUAACCAUAAACGAUGCCGACCAGCGAUUAGGAGACGUUGAAUACAAAACACCACCAUCGGCGCGGUCGUCCUUGGCGUCGGUCCUUCACGGGGCCGGCGCGAGGGCGGCUUAGCCCGGUGGCACCGGUGAAUGACUCCCCUAGCAGCUUGUGAGAAAUCAUAAGUCUUUGGGUUCCGGGGGGAGUAUGGUCGCAAGGCUGAAACUUAAAGGAAUUGACGGAAGGGCACCACCAGGAGUGGAGCCUGCGGCUUAAUUUGACUCAAC